CUUGUAGAUAAUUAAAACAAAAAGAAAUCGAAUAACCAGUGAAAACAGGUACGUGCUAAAUAUUUAUAUAAGUCUCAACUGUGAACAGAUAACUGUCUUCUCGGCCGUUGAGUAAAUUAGACGUUACUCUUCCGCAAGAUAACUAGUUUGAGCUUUUAAAUUACCAGUUUCUACGGAAACGAUAUAUUUGAAAAUCUAUACAAUGUGUGGUCGAACUAUAUAUGAAAUGAAAACCAAAAGAAAAAAAAACCUUCGCUUUAAAUGUCAUACGUACAAAGUAAUUAAGAUACCAGAAUGUUACAUGUGUUAUACCAAUAAUAAAUCGGUUUCCUACAAAAUAGAUGGAAAACAAGUUAGGCUUUUGGAUAGUGAAAUGCCUACCUUUUGCCAAACUGGAUCAACUAGACUAAAGAGAACAAAUGGUUUAAAACACUAAAGGCGUAGCGGACCGGUUAAUAGGUAAAAUAAAUGCGAAAGGGAAGGUCUAGUAUAUUGGUGAUGGUGAUGG
rnacentral:lncRNA from 1 species